UUACGGUCACAUCACGUUGAAAUAACGGUUCUCGUCUGACGAUCGAAGUUAAGCAACGUUGGGCUUGGUCUGUACCUAGAUGGGUGACCGCUUAUGAAUACUAGGUGCUC